rnacentral:rRNA from 1 species
GUCUAUGGCCAUGACAUUCUGAACGUCUGAUCUCGAAAGCUAAGCAGGGGCGGGCCUGGUUAGAACUUGGAUGGGAGACCACCUGGGAAUAUCAGGUGCUAUAGGCA